GCGCUGUCCCGCUUCUGGGUCAAGUUCUGUGGAUGCUGUGAGUUCGUUUUUUGUUUUUUGUUUUUUGUUUUUUUUGCUAAGAGUGGUUUUAUAGAAGAGGCAGCUUCGACCCGCCUUCCCCAGGUGAAUCUCGUUAACCUCCAAGAGCCAGGUGAGAGGAGGGCAGUGCUAUGCUCAGGCCAUGUGGAGAGAGGCCAGUGUGCUAUGGCAAAUGCCCCCAAGUCCAUGGGUCUGGCUACGAUGGGAAAAUGAAGAUGAAAACUUCUUGGAGCCCAGCUAACGGGAAAGAACUCCCCAUUUCACCUUCCUGAGCAGUGGAAUCCGUGGCUCAGAAACAGCGGCUGCCCAUGAGCCGUCAGCUCACAAAUACAUUCCAUGGCUUAUUUGCGGAGGGAAGUGUCCUCUACCUCUUGACCUUUCAGAUAGCUAGUGAAAGCAAACAGAUCUGGAAGAAGCUAAUGGCAGCUACUGAGCCAGCAUGAAUUGGGGCCCACACCUCGGCUUCCCAAUGUGUUUCGGCUUUAUUUCCUCUGCUCUCCUCAUUCUCAUACAACUGUAUUCAUGAAAACACAG